AGACGGAGGGUUAGGAAACCAUUUCCCUGGCAAACGAGAGAAACAUAUCUGAAAAUCCUGAAAGACACCGAUGUUUGCUCUCAGGACCGCGAUUUCUCGCGCUCUCCGCUUCCGGUGGGUGGAUCCACCGCGAUUUGUUGUUCACGUACACACAGCGUCAAAGUGGGAACACUAUCCCCGCGCAGGCGGCGGCGCGUCGCCGGAUUGUCAUCUCCUGGUGCUUCUCCCCAAAUCCGUGAAGCUGCUGUCUCAUCUUGGUUCGUUUUACCCCCACUAUUGGGGGAACCUGGGAUGUAGAGGGCCUGUCAAUCUUGGCGGUGGAGGGAUUCCCCAUCUCGCUUUUAUGUAAAUUUAUUUACUAGUGGAAUGGAAGUAGUACUAAAUUGGUCUGAAAGGAGGUUUUUAGUUUGUUCACUGUCGAAAUGCAUCAGUGGCCAAGUUACUGCUUGAGUUGUUUUUUACCGUGAGCUGGUUGUUUUCUGUCGGUGUAACUCUUGAAGGUGGUAACCUAUGCUGGCAAGAAGUCAAGAACAAUUUCCUUGCACUGACUACAUAUUAACGCCACUUUUAAG